GAUGAACGCUGGCGGCGUGCCUCAAACAUGCAAGUCGAGCGGGGCUAUGUAAUAUCGCAAGGUAGAACAUAGCCUAGCGGCGAACGGGUGAGUAACACGUGGGUAACCUGCCUGGAAGACAGGGAUAACGAUUCGAAAGGGUCGCUAAUACCUGAUAAUAUCCUUUCAUCGCAUGGUGAUAGGAAGAAAGGGGAAACCCGCUUUCAGAUGGGCCCGCGUCCCAUCAGCUAGUUGGUAAGGUAAAGGCUUACCAAGGCGACGACGGGUAGCCGGUCUGAGAGGAUGUACGGCCACACUGGGACUGAGAUACGGCCCAGACUCCUACGGGAGGCAGCAGUUGGGAAUCUUAGGCAAUGGACGAAAGUCUGACCUAGCGACGCCGCGUGAGGGAAGAAGGCCUUCGGGUUGUAAACCUCUGUCAUGGGGAAGAAGUAAGUGACGGUACCCCAAGAGGAAGCCCCUGCUAACUACGUGCCCAGCAGCCGCGGUAAAAGUCUCUAU
rnacentral:rRNA from 1 species